CAGAGUCAGACGCCAUAACAGUCGGUUGAGUGACAGCAAGGUAGUCGCGAAAACAAAUCAUCGCUAUUUUUAAAUGUUAUUAGUACUAUUUUGAGCAAUGGUAAAAAAGAGUUCCGAUAGCUUUACCGGACUGGGUUUUUCCACCUUACAAAACUGCUGACGCAGCAUUGUGCCAUUGGCUGUGUUUAUUGUUCCACGGCACUACUAUGCUUUAAGCAGUAACCUUGCUCAUGCCAACGAGGGUGCGGUCGUCAAUUCGGUUUAAAACAUUUCACUCAAUAUAACGAGAUUCAAUACAAUUUGACCAUAAUCAUGGCUGACGGAAAAGACGCAGGUAAAAAAGACGCCCGGACGAAGCUGAAAGACAAAGCUGGAGAAAUUGGAACAGCUCUUCCCAUGGCUGAACCAUUUGAUGACAACGGCAUAGAGAACAAAGCAAUAGCAGAGAAAACUAGACGAGCCAGAGAAGAAAGGAAACACACUGAACAAGCGUCGAAAUCAUCGACAAAUCUGCCGGAGCACUAGGCACUGUUUCACGUGGCCAACUUCGCCAGUGAAGGUCCAAUUGGCCACGAUAUUUGCGUCAGAAGAAGAGACGAUUUCUAAAUAUUAUGACAAUAUUAUAAGUGACAUUUUUUAAUGAGUUUAUUGUUAUUUACAACAACAGUUGGAAUGACUGUAAACAGACAAUUAAUCAACGUUCACUAGGCACAGUUUAUUUUCAAAGGGUAGCCGUGCGCAGCUGCCUUGUGGACUACCGGGACACCAAGCGACGGUGGCAGUUGACCAUUUUAGCUGUGUUUUCAGAAAAACUGUUUCGUUUAUAUUUUCAUUGAGAUAUGCCUUUUAUGUAUCGUAUUCAAAUUUAUUUUAUAUUCGUAUUCACAAACAACACAGUUUAUGAAAACUAUAGUAAGUGAGUGUGUUAAUGUCGCGGGGACGACGGCAACUGUUACAGCACCACAACUCCUCGCUAUGAUCUUUGAGUUUUGUUCAUAAUUUACUUUACUAACGGCGAUUAAAAGCUUGUUUUAGUUUUCU